rnacentral:rRNA from 1 species
CACCGCGGCUAUACGAGAGGCCCAAGUUGUUAUCUCCCGGCGUAAAGAGUGGUUACGGAGAAUAAACACUAAAGCCGCACAUCUUCAAAGCUGUCAUACGCACCCGAAGACUAGAAGCCCGACCACGAAAGUAGCUUUACAAUCCCCGAACCCACGAAAGCUCUGGCA